rnacentral:lncRNA from 1 species
AGAACAUUUAAGGCUUACAACACUGGGACUAGGAAGCGUCGAAGGAUAAACACUGACGAUGCUGAUGUCCGUUGGCACAAGACAGGCAAGACAAAGCCAGUACUAGUUGAUGGAAAACACCUUGGUUGUAAGAAAAUAAUGGUGCUUUAUAUAAGCCCGUUGAAGGGUGGAAAGGCUGAGAAGACCAAUUGGGUGAUCCACCAGUACCACCUAGGCACUGGAGAGGAUGAGAGAGAUGGUGAAUAUGUUGUCUCCAAACUAUUUUUUCAGCAACAGUUUAAACCUGGGGACAAGAAUGCUCAAGAGCUAACUACAUCCGAUGAUCUGGAAUCAAUGGCUGCUGAAUCAAAUCUCCCAGAUUUUACUACAUUGCCCACUGACAAACAUGUUGGUACAGUCCAAGAAGUUGUUCAUAAUCCUGAGCAUAAUCUUUACCAGGUAACUGAAUAUGUGGCCCACAUUUGUAGGUGAUAGGUAAGUUGAACCAGAAAAUAGAACAUAUACUGCUAACUUAUUUUUUGAUAAUUGAAAAUAGAAUUUAGAAAUACAUUUGUUUUUCCUAAUGUGCAGCUUAAUAGAAACUGUGAAAUAAGCAUUGAAGAGACUGUUGUCCUCCCACCCUCUGGAAAAACAACAAAGGACGGAUAUAAUCUCCAAUCACAAGAUUAGAAGUUGUGGGAAGGCGAUUCCCAGUUUGAAUUGUUAGACUCGCAGCAGCUGGCAGAAGGACUCGCUCUCUGUGACGAGUUCCUCCUGAGUCAGUCUCAGACCUCUUGUGGAGGUGGAGAUGAACCUAGAGAGACCAAACCCUGCCUGGCUGCUUAUGCCCAUCUGUCAGCAGAGGACUUCAAGAAGAGGUGGCGGGCAAAAACAGCAGCUGUGUCAGGUGGCGAAGACGAAGAAGAGGUGGCGGGCAGAAGCCGAAUGGUGUAGAGGGGGCCGGUGCUGUCACAUCGGAGGAGGGGGAGCCGAGUUGCCAAGUCCUUCACAGUAAGACCAGAAGAGUCAAACUCAACAGAACAAGAAUUAUCAGUAGUAAACCGACGAAUAGAAAGUAGAUUGUGGACCAAAGGAGUGACAAGAACAUCGGGCAUGCGAAAAAAGCCGGGAGGGCCGGCGGCACCCACAGAUGUGACAGGGAGACACGAGCCAUUCGCCACCAUGAUGGACGAAGGGAGAGAGGAAGGUGGAGGGCGCACAGAGGUGAGUAUACCAGGGUCCGGAGUGGUGUGGUAGGUAGCACCGGUGUCCGCGAUCCACUCGGGACCCAGCGGUGGAGUCAGAGUGGGAGUCUGGAAGGGGCAACCAGGGCGGUCGCGUCCCAACUAACCAGCCCAGACGGUGGAGUAGCCGGUGGUGGAGUAGCGGACGGCGUGGGCCACGAUGAAGCGGCAGGCGACAGAGUCCAGGGCGAUGGAGAGGCGGCGGCGAGGUGAACCCCGGUUGUGCACUAGCGAACAUGGCCACCGGGGGACGAGCCGCAGAAACAGGCCCCUGGAACGGCCACAUGGAGAUGCGCCCUGACCACGGGUGGUGAAAAGUGGGCCAAGGCGCACCCUGUUGGGGUCCCGGUGUCGGAGCGCUGCCACGGGCACCACCGCCGGGACCAGCACCACCACCACCACCACCACGGCGGCGACGACCACCACCACCUCCACCUCCGCCACCGCGACCCCCGCCGCCCAUGUUCGGCCCGGGGGAACGAUGGCCUGACGGAGUAGGAGGACGGGUCGGGGUGAGAGCCGCCAGAGCUGUCGAGGAGGACGAGGACCCCGGGCUGGAGAUCAAGGUAGCCUGAGCACCCAGAGUGAUCUCCUCCAGGGCGAGGUCGUCACGGACCUGGAGGAAGGUAGGGAAGGGGCGCUGGCGCAUGAUCAACGACCGGAGAUGGGUUUAGCGAUCACUGAGGCCGCGGAGGACGUUGAGGACUAGGUUGCGGUCCUCCACGGGGCAGCCCAGAUUGCCAAGUGAGUCCGCCAUGGUCUUCAUCGUGCGGCAGUACUCACUGACGAUGAGGUCCCCCUGGACGAAGGUGCGGAAGGCUGCGUCAAGACGGAGAGCCCGGGCCUCGGCGUUACCCAGAAACUGGCCCUCGAUGGCAAGCCAAACAGCCCGAGCGUGAGGAAUGUUCCGGAGGAGGCUGUGGAGGUCAACGGAGAUCGUCCCCACGAUCCAGGUAAGCACGAUGCUGUCGAGGCGCACCAACGCGGCGGUCGGCGCCACACUGGCGGGGUCGCAGAGAACGUGGUCAUCCAGAGCGUAACGACGAAGGGUGAGGAGUAAGUCCCGUCAGCGUGCGUAGGACGAAGACUCUGGCUCCAGGACGACAGGAACCAUGAGGCGAAUGUUCUGGACACUCCCAGCCUGAAGGUGGAGCUGAGCCACGAGCGGGUCAGCCGGGUCAUGCCACAACACCGUGGGGAUGGUGCGGGGUCCGGUGCCGACGGUUGGUGCGGGCGGGACGCCAUACACUCCGCCCACGGUGUCAGAGGAGGUGACCCCGCCGUCGUGGGUCGCAGGCGAGGCGAGGAGCUGUUCCGCCGCGGCAAUCUGAGCAGCGAUAGCAUCAGCGGCCUCGCGCUCGCGCUCCCACACGAGAGCGGCUUCCCGCAAACGGGCCUGUCGCGCCGCGUGCUCCGCACGGGAAGCAGUCAGGGCGGCGACAGUGGAUCCCUGGUGGGCGACCAGUGGAGGGGGAGGCGGCGGAUCAACGACAGACGACGAGGGGAUUGGCGGGGGAGGGUCCUCCGGACCGGCAACCCCCGCAGGAGGGGCAUCUGCCACAGCCGCAAGGACCGUUGCGGUGCCCGUCGCGGUGAGGGACCCUCCGGCGGCAAUGGGCCCUGCCCCCCACGGCGGCCUGAGCACAGCAGUAGCGGCAGGAGGGACGGCGGCGGGUCGACAAGGAGACGCGGCCCGUACUCAGGAAGAGAGGGGAGGGAACUCGGCAUCCAUGGGAGGAGGGAAGACCCGGGUGCGCUGGCGGCGCUCGGGGGCGUCUGGUCGGGUGGGACAGAGGCAGGGCUGGCGGGGGCGGGCACCUGGGCGCUCCUGGCGGGCGCGGCGCGGCUCCUGGCGGCGCUCGCCUGGGACAGAGGAAGGAAGGGCGGGGCCGGGCGGGCAGAGCGGCGCUCUGGCGGCGCUCCCCUGGGCGCGGCGAGGCAGAGGCAGGGCGGGGCGGGCAGAGCGGCGCGUCGGGGCGCUCCGGGCGGGCGUGGCCCCUGGCGGGCGUGGCACCUGGCGCUGGCGGCGCCCCUGGGCGCGACGGCGGCAGCAGGGAAGGGAGGUGGCGGCUGCACAGGGAAGGGAGGUGGAAACCCUAGCUCGAUACCAUGUCUCAGGUAACUGAUAGAUACAUGAGGCUAACCCUAAUGGGUAGCUAUAUAGUGAUGUACAUGAGCCACAUGGGCCUAGAUACAUGGCAUAUACUCUAACACCACUUUUCAUUAGAUAUGUCAUUUCCAUUUCUCUGUAAUUAAGCAUGGUUAGGAAUAAAUAAAAAAUAAUAUAUAGCAAUUGCCAAAGAUAAACAAUUUGCAUAUCUUAAGGAGUUCUUCAACUUGUUUAUAAAACUGGAAUAAAUGUCUAUGGUUAUAAACUUAUAAUUAUAUUUGUCACUUUAACUGCCUUACUUUUUAGCCAUCUCAUGGCCAACUUAUAAGUUAAUAGACCUAUUGUAUUUCUGAAAUGCUUUGACUUUUGCAGUUACAGUAUGGGGCUUUUGCUGUGAAUAUCCCUUUUAAAGGUUCUAUUAAAGUGUGGUCAGCUGCAAAGUCUGAAAGGUUCCGUUAAAGUGUGAUCAGCUCAUGACUGUUUUCUUGCUGUAGGUUGUUCACCAGUGGCCCGGUUUGCCUAAAGGUGUAAAAUUUGAUCCUUCUGACCAGGAAUUAAUCUGGCACUUAAUGGCAAAACAUGGAAAAUCUGGAAUAAAACCUCAUCCGUUCAUUGAUGAAUUCAUUCCAACAGUUGAGGAAGAUGAAGGCAUCUGUUACACUCAUCCACAGAAACUUCCAGGUACUUAUAUCUUCUUUCUGAAAGAUUAUGCGAUUUUCAGGAUUAAGGUUCUUAAGUAAAAGCUUUUAUUUCAGAUAAUAUCAAAUUUGAAAUUCUGCAGUUAGAGCUACUGUCAAGUGCUUAUCUUUGUUAGUAAUUUGUUGUCCCGUGGGACUCUUUUUUGUUGAUCACACCCUAUGACCUGCAUUUAGCCUAGGAAAACUUCAGGCAGGGCAAAUUACUUAUUUUACUUUUCAUUUAUGGCUAGUUUCAUUUCCCCCUCAAACCCCUCCAAUUCCGGAGGGUAUUUGAGUUUCCAAACUAGCCCUUAAUUUUUUCACCUCGUCGCUAUGCAACAAUUGACGACCUGUACAACUCUUGAAUUGUUACCGCCUUCUUUGAAACAGACAUUUCACAUUCUGGUUGGAACACUUUUGCUUUGAUACUCCACUUGUUUUUCAACACUCAGGAGUCUUCUCUGUCCAUUUUAGGUGUUAAACAAAAUGGAAGUGUAUCACAUUUCUUCCACAGAACAUUUAAGGCUUACAACACUGGGACUAGGAAGCGUCGAAGGAUAAACACUGACGAUGCUGAUGUCCGUUGGCACAAGACAGGCAAGACAAAGCCAGUACUAGUUGAUGGAAAACACCUUGGUUGUAAGAAAAUAAUGGUGCUUUAUAUAAGCCCGUUGAAGGGUGGAAAGGCUGAGAAGACCAAUUGGGUGAUCCACCAGUACCACCUAGGCGCUGGAGAGGAUGAGAGAGAUGGUGAAUAUGUUGUCUCCAAACUAUUUUUUCAGCAACAGUUUAAACCUGGGGACAAGAAUGCUCAAGAGCUAACUACAUCCGAUGAUCUGGAAUCAAUGGCUGCUGAAUCAAAUCUCCCAGAUUUUACUACAUUGCCCACUGACAAACAUGUUGGUACAGUCCAAGAAGUUGUUCAUAAUCCUGAGCAUAAUCUUU